rnacentral:misc_RNA from 1 species
AAGGAUCAUUACUGAGUUAGGGUCUUUUGGCCUGACCUCCAACCCUUUGUCUACUCGACCUCUUGUUGCUUCGGCGGACCCGUCUCCCCUAGAAAUGGGGGCGACCGCCGGAGGGGUUAAACCCUCUGGCCCGCGUCCGUCGAUGGCCCUUUACAAAUUCUUGAUUAAUUGUGUCCUCUGAAUUAAACAAAAAAUAACCAAAAACUUUCAACAACGGAUCUCUUGGUUCUG